rnacentral:rRNA from 1 species
UACGUAGGGCGCAAGCGUUGUCCGGAAUCAUUGGGCGUAAAGAGCUCGUAGGCGGCCUGUUGCGUCCGCUGUGAAAUCCCGGGGGUUAACCCCGGGCGUGCAGUGGAUACGGGCUGGCUGGAGGCAGGCAGGGGAGAACGGAAUUCCCGGUGUAGCGGUGAAAUGCGCAGAUAUCGGGAGGAACACCGGUGGCGAAGGCGGCUCACUGGCUCAUUUCUGACGCUCAGGCGCGACAGCGUGGGGAUCAAACAGG